rnacentral:pre_miRNA from 1 species
UCGGAGCCGACUCUCUGCAGGUGCAGCAGCAUCAAGGUUCGCCAGCAGCAAGCGAUCGAUCGAGGCGUGUGUGUGUGAAUCUUGAUGAUGCUGCACCAGCAAUGAGCCGGCCGGC